CCUACGGGAGGCAGCAGUGAGGAAUAUUGGUCAAUGGCCGAGAGGCUGAACCAGCCAAGUCGCGUGAGGGAAGACGGCCCUACGGGUUGUAAACCUCUUUUGUCGGGGAGCAAAGCGAGUCACGUGUGACUCAUUGAGAGUACCCGAAGAAAAAGCAUCGGCUAACUCCGUGCCAGCAGCCGCGGUAAUACGGAGGAUGCGAGCGUUAUCCGGAUUUAUUGGGUGUAAAGGGUGCGCAGGCGGAGGGGCAAGGCAGCGGUCCAAUUGCGGGGCUCAACCCCGUACUGCCGUUGAAACUGCAUCCCUUGAGUGCGCGCGAAGUAUGCUGACUGCGUGGUGUCGCGGU
rnacentral:rRNA from 1 species